ensembl:lncRNA
AUCCAAUGAAUCCAAAUACAUUUUAGAAAACAAAGUUGAAAAACAAUGUUCUCAGUUUACCCAUUUACCCAAAUAUUCUGGUCUGUUAAUCAUUAUUUCUCUCUAAUAUACUUCUAUUUUGCAUUUAGGUUCAAAUUCCCACGCUGCCUGUUGAAGCAGUGAUGACGAGAAGGGCCGUAGCUAACGCAGAGAAAGGUGGAUAUGACUCACGGGGGCCCAUGACAUGGCAGGGCCCAUUGAUCGUAAUAAACGAGGGGGCCCAGGUAUAUAUAUUUUCUGGGGGCCCAGGAUUCCUGGCAACGGCUCUAAUGACAAGAAACAGGAGCCAAACAGAUGUGUUUAGUCUUGUCUGCCCCCACCUGUCCCAUACACUCCCAUCUUAUUAAUCUACACCUUCCUUCCUCUCUGAUGGCUCCAAACAGCUGCCCUGCUCAGACACACCACUAGCUUUGUGUUUCGGAAGACACUCCCCCCAAAAAAUAAGAACACACGAUUAGCCCCAUUUCUCUCUAAAUGUAGGCGGUUGUCCAAUUCGCUGAGCCAUAAUAGAGUAGAAGGGAGUUCAUUGUUUUUAUAAGACAUCAAGAUACAGUGAGUACAGAAAGUCUACACCACACCCCCUUGACCUUAUUUCACGUUUUAUGUUAUUCUCUGAGUUUCAUGCAUUAAAAUUUGGAUUUAUUUUCCUAUAGGCCAACACACAAGAGGAGUUAUUUUUAAAUCAUAAGUGUAAAUACAUAGAAUUGUACAAUAUCAUAAUUGGAUGAGUCUCCACUAAGAUAAUAUUUAGUGAAAGCACCUUUGGAAGUAAUUCAGACUUAGUCUGUUGGAAUAGAUUUAAAACGCUGUGUAAAGUGUAAAAACAUAGAAUGCAAUGAUGUGCAAAUAACCCUAAUUAAACCCUAUAUUCAAUAGAAAAUAGUAAAAAGACAAUAUAUCAAAUGUUGAAACUGACAAAUGUUAUAGUUUAAAAAAUAUAUAUGCCUACUUUGAAAUUGAUGCCAGCAACACGUUUCAAAAAGCUGGGACAGAGGCAGAAAAAACUGAAAUAGACAGGAAAAGUUGUAUAAUAAAAAAUAAAAUAACGUGGUGGAACAUCUCACAUGGUGGAACAUGUCCUUUACAUGAUUGGGUAUAAAAAGAGUUUUUCAGAAGUAAAGAUGGGGAGGGGUUCACCACUCUGUGAAAGAUUGUGCAGGCAAAUAACGUUUCUCCAUGUAAAAUUGCAAAGAGUUUGGGGAUGUCAUCAUCUACAGUACACAAUGUCAUUAAAAGAUUCACAGAAUCCAGAGAAAUCUCUGUACAAGGGACAAAGCUGAAAACCAAUAUUGGAUGGCCGUGAACUUCGGGCCCUCAGGCAGCACUACAUUAAAAACAGAAACGAUUCUGUUGUGGAAAUCAUUGCAUGAGCUCAGGAACACUUGCAAAAACAAUUUUCUGUGAACACAGUAUGUUGCUGCAUCCACAAAUGCAAGUUCAAACUCUACCAUGCAAAUAAGAAACCACAUAUAAACAAGACUUACAGUACAAACGCUGCCACCAUCUCUGGGCACAAGCACAUUUAUGAUGGACUUCGCUGAAGUGGACUGUCCAGUGGUCUGACAAAUCCAAAUUUGAAAUUAUUUUUGUGAAUCAUGGAUGCUGCAUCCUUCGGGCUAAAGAGGAGAGGGACCAUCCAACUUCUUAUCAGCUCACAGUUCAAAAGCAAGCAUCUGUGAUGGUAUGGGGGUGCAUUAGUGCACAUGGCAUGGGUGACUGGAACAUCUGUGUAGGCACCAUUAAUGCUAAACUAUAUAUACAGGUUUGGUCAACUUUCUGCUUUGUUUUUCUGGCAUUUUAACAACUCACUGGAGACAUGCUGCAUUCCGGCCUGCUUCAAAUCCUCAAUCAUCAUUCGAGUCCCCAAGAAGUCAAGGAUCACAGAACUUAAUGACUACAGACCCGUCGCCCUGACCUCUGUGGUUGUGAAGUAAUUUGAGCUUCUUGUGCUGUCCCACCUCAAGACCAUCACAGAGCCUCUACUAGACUACAGAGCCAACAGGUCUGUGGACGACGGAGAACCAAUUGUCUGUUCCCCUGACCAUCAGCAACAGGUCCCCUCAAGGCUGCAUCCUGUCCCGCUACUAUUCUCCCUAUACAUCAACAGCUGCACCUCCAGUCACCACUCCGUCAAAAGUUUGCAGAUAACACCAGCCUAAUCUGACUUAUUUCUGAUGGAGACGAGUCCAUCUAUAGAUUGGCCAUCUGGUGUCCUGGGGCAGUCAGAACAACUUUGGAGCUCAACACCCUAAAGAUGAUAGUGGACUUCAGGAGAAGCCCAGUUGCCUUUCCCCCC